rnacentral:rRNA from 1 species
AGAACGAACGCUGGCGGCAGGCUUAACACAUGCAAGUCGAGCGCCCAGCAAUGGGAGCGGCGGACGGGUGAGUAACACGUGGGAACAUGCCCUUUGGUACGGGACAACUCAGGGAAACUUGAGCUAAUACCGUAUGUGCCGGUAACGGGAAAGAUUUAUCGCCAAAGGAAUGGCCCGCGUCCGAUUAGCUAGUUGGUGAGGUAAUGGCUCACCAAGGCACCGAUCGGUAGCUGGUUUGAGAGAACGACCAGCCACACUGGGACUGAGACACGGCCCAGACUCCUACGGGAGGCAGCAGUGGGGAAUCUUGGACAAUGGGGGCAACCCUGAUCCAGCCAUGCCGCGUGAGUGAUGAAGGCCUUCGGGUUGUAAAACUCGUUUCGACGGGGACGAUAAUGACGGUACCCGUAGAAGAAGCUCCGGCUAACUUCGCGCCAGCAGCCGC